UAUAAUUCAAAAUGUUUUAAUUAACAUUCAAAUGACAGAACCAGUUAGAUUAGACAUAGGGAAAACAAAGUACAAGAAAACAGGGGGUCUGGGGGUCAGAACACAGGACCCUUAGAGCCAGCUAGUGUCUAGGGGUCAGAACUAAGGACAAUCAGAACCAGCUAGAACAGCUUGGGACACAGGACUAGACCAACCUGGAUUAGAUCAUCAGCCUACUGUCAUACUCUACAACUAGGCCUACUCUCCAUUCCAGCCCUGACGGUUACAGGGAAAGAUGAAGAGUUGCUCUCUCCGUGUGGUUCCUCCAGGCCUUUUAGGUUGAGGCAGCUUUUUCACCACAUCACUUUUAGGAACAUAUGCCACAUCAUUUACCUUUAUAGCAAACGUGGGUCUCUCCCACUCUUUUGUGUUUCCCUGGAUUCUUCUGAGAAAAUGUGCAGUAUUUCAUUAUCCUCAACUUUCUCAACCAUGCCAAAGUAGCGGCUGCUUCUGUGUUUGGUUGCAAAGUUAACUAUGACAAAGUCACCCACGGACAGAUCUGUGUUUCCUGGAUCACACAUUAUCAAUUGGGACAGGGACAUCACUCUCCUCAGAGCUGCUAACUAUGAUUUUCUUUUUGGUUGCUUUCUUUUUCGGUUGUCCCUUUUCUUUGCUAUUUAGCUUCUUCCCUGCCAAUUUUUUUGUCUUUCUUUAUAAUCCUUUUCAAUUGUCUGCUUCUCAGGAGUAUCAGUUAGGACGACUGUCUUCAUACGCUUUCGUUUGGUUUGUGUUCUGGGGGGACAUUUGGGAAGUGGUAGGAUUUCACAAGGAGACACAUAUCCAGGUCGGCUGGUAACACGUGGCAUAUCUCAGUCAGCUGGCGAGGCACAUCCAUGUGGACCAUGCACAGUGGAUGGAUUAGCAUCAGCGACUGAAUUAUCUGCAGGGGGUGGACUAUCUGGAUCAUCUGCAAUGACAGGUUGCAGCUCAGGGUUUGGCCAGGUAAUCAGCUGCUCUUAUAGACUUCUUUCCUUCCUUGACCUCAGCGGCUGCACUCUCCAUCUCCUUGAGGGGUGUUUUGCCCCAGGUUGUCUUCCUGGUGUAUUGCCUUGGCAUGAUGGCUUUUCUACAAUGUUUAUGACAUUAGAAAUAAAACACAUGUAAUGUAAUAUUACAUUAAAAUGUGUUUAAGGCUAAA